UGGGGAAUCUUAGACAAUGGGCGCAAGCCUGAUCUAGCCAUGCCGCGUGAGCGAUGAAGGCCUUAGGGUUGUAAAGCUCUUUCAGAUGGGAAGAUAAUGACUGUACCAUCAGAAGAAGCCCCGGCUAACUCCGUGCCAGCAGCCGCAAUAAUACGGAGGGGGCUAGCGUUGUUCGGAAUUACUAAACGUAAAGCGCACGUAAACGGACUGGAAAGUCAAAGGUGAAAUCCCAGGGCUCAACCUUGGAACUGCCUUUGAAACUCCCAGUCUUGAGGUCGAGAGAGGUGAGUGGAAUUCCGAGUGUAGAGGUGAAAUUCGUAGAUAUUCGGAGGAACACCAGUGGCGGAGGCGGCUCACUGGCUCGAUACUGACGCUGAGGUGCGAAAGCGUGGGGAGCAAACA
rnacentral:rRNA from 1 species